ACCUACGGCCAAACCACCCUGAAAGUGCCCGCUCUCGUCUGUUCUCGGAAGCUAAGAAGGGACGGGCUUGGUUAGUACCUGGAUGGGAGACCGCCUGGGAAUACCAGGUGUUGUAGGCU
rnacentral:rRNA from 1 species